AAAUGAAUAGACGGGGGCCCGCACAAGUAGCGGAGCAUGUGGUUUAAUUCGACGCAACGCGAAGAACCUUACCUGGGCUUGACAUCCUAAGAAGUCGGUGGAAACACUGAUGUGCCCUUCGGGGAACUUAGAGACAGGUGGUGCAUGGUUGUCGUCAGCUCGUGUCGUGAGAUGUUGGGUUAAGUCCCGCAACGAGCGCAACCCUUGUUGUUAGUUGCUACCAUUAAGUUGAGCACUCUAGCAAGACUGCCUGGGUAACCAGGAGGAAGGUGGGGAUGACGUCAAAUCAUCAUGCCCCUUAUGUCCAGGGCUACACACGUGCUACAAUGGUUGGUACAGAGAGACGCAAGACCGUGAGGUGGAGCAAAUCCCAUAAAACCAAUCUCAGUUCGGAUUGUAGGCUGAAACUCGCCUACAUGAAGCUGGAGUUACUAGUAAUCGCGAAUCAGAAUGUCGCGGUGAAUGCGUUCCCGGGCCUUGUACACACCGCCCGU
rnacentral:rRNA from 1 species